rnacentral:rRNA from 1 species
UACGGAGGGUGCAAGCGUUAUCCGGAUUUACUGGGUUUAAAGGGUGCGUAGGCGGGUUUCCAAGUCAGUGGUGAAAGCUCCGAGCUUAACUCGGAAAUUGCCAUUGAUACUGGAAGUCUUGAAUUCAGUUGAGGUCGGCGGAAUGUGUCGUGUAGUAGUGAAAUACUUAGAUAUGACACAGAACACCAAUUGCGAAGGCAGCUGGCUAACCUGACAUUGACGCUGAGGCACGAAAGCGU